rnacentral:tRNA from 3 species
CAUUAGAUGGCUGAAAAUUAAGCAAUGGUCUCUUAAACCAAAACAUAGUAAAUAAUACUUCUAAUGA